GCCGCGCGCCGGCAGUGACGUUGUUUUUGCUUGCCGGCGGGGGGUCGAUAUUUCCUCCGCUUCGAAGAGUCGUGCGAGUCUCUUUGCCAAGGUGUCCGGAGGCUCAGCUAUGGUGACAGGCGGUCAAAUAGGCCCUGCUGGCGGGACUUCCGGCGCGGUUACCCCUGAAGGUUUGCGCGGCUGGAUCCGAGGAGCUUAUCGCUUUGCCACAGACCGCAAUGACUUCCGCAGAAACCUCAUAGUUAAUCUGGGACUCUUUGCAGUAGGUGUCUGGGUAGCCAGAAACUUAACAGACAUUGAUUUGAUGGCACCACAACCUGUUGUAUAAGCCCCAUGUUUAUUAUUACUCAAUGCAUGGAAUUUCCUUUCAGGAAUUCUGGGGGUCAAAUGCAGCAAACUGAAAACUGGCUAUAUCCUUGGAAAAACUGAUUUUACAAAUCUGAACUUCCAUCUUCUAUAUGAAAAAAUAGCAAGAAUUGGAGAAAACAAAGACAAUAUUUUAACUCUACAUCAUUCUUCACUAUGUUUAAUUCUUUGGCAGCAUUAGGUUUUAUACUCAAAUAAUAAUAGAUAACAGUAUUCUGUUGUUGUUGUUUUUGCUAAAAUGUUUUUGAUAUAUAUAUAUAUAUAUAUAUACAUUAUUUUGCAGAAUUGAACUGUUAGAUUCUGACCUGAAAUGUGAAAUAAAGACAUGCCAGUGCACUGAA